rnacentral:rRNA from 1 species
AGAGUUUGAUCAUGGCUCAGAUUGAACGCUGGCGGCAUGCCUUACACAUGCAAGUCGAACGCGAAAGGGGGCAACCCCGAGUAGAGUGGCGAACGGGUGAGCAAUACAUCGGAACGUGUCCUGUAGCGGGGGACAACCUCGAGAAAUCGAGGCUAAUACCGCAUACGAUCUACGGAUGAAAGUGGGGGACCGCAAGGCCCCACACUAUAGGAGCGGCCGAUGCCGGAUUAGCUAGUUGGUGGGGUAAAAGCCUACCAAGGCGACGAUCCGUAGCUGGUUUGAGAGAACGACCAGCCACACUGGGACUGAGACACGGCCCAGACUCCUACGGGAGGCAGCAGUGGGGAAUUUUGGACAAUGGGCGAAAGCCUGAUCCAGCCAUGCCGCGUGAGUGAAGAAGGCCUUCGGGUUGUAAAGCUCUUUCGGCGGGGACGAAAUUGCGCGGGGUAACAUCCCGCGUAGAUGACGGUACCCGAAGAAGAAGGACCGGCUAACUACGUGCCAGCAGCCGCGGUAAUACGUAGGGUCCAAGCGUUAAUCGGAAUUACUGGGCGUAAAGCGUGUGUAGGCGGUUUCGAAAGUCCGAUGUGAAAUCCCCGGGCUUAACCUGGGAACUGCGUUGGAAACUACGAGGCUAGAGUGCGGCAGAGGGGGGUGGAAUUCCAGGUGUAGCAGUGAAAUGCGUAGAGAUCUGGAGGAACACCGAUGGCGAAGGCAGCCCCCUGGGCCAGCACUGACGCUGAUACACGAAAGCGUGGGGAGCAAACAGGAUUAGAUACCCCAGUAGUCC